UUGUUCAAAAAAGAAUUCAAAAGCUUUUAAUGUUAAUUGCCGACCCUAAACCGUCUCAAAUCACAACUAAUCACCUUUGCUUCCUCCGGGUCGUGUAGACAGUGAUCGGAGUUUGGUUUGACUUUCCUGUUUUUGCAUUGCUGUCAGGUUGUCUGUGAUACUGUCCACGGGCCGUAAGAGAGUUUGUUGAAGGAUUCCACGGGGUUGUGAAAGUAUCUUUGUUGCUGUUGCCAACUGGUCGGUGAAGUGUCCACGGGAUUUGCUGUGUGAGUGUCCACAGCCUGCGAGAAAACUUUGUUGAGGGAAUACACGGGCCGUGAAUAAGGGGUCAAGCAUCAACAUUGGCCGUGCAAGAGCUUCUGCGACUAGAAGAUUGUUGGUGGUUAAUGGCUGGAUUAUUGCUUCAACUUUUGGAUUGAUUUUACUAGAAAAAUUUUUAAAGCAAUUCAUUUUUCAUUAUGUGGAAUGCAGAUGGAUUCUAUGAUUGCAGGGGCAAAGUUUCGGGGCAACAAAUAGUGGAGUUGAGUUCCCACUUCUAUCUUUUUGGAACAAGCUGAUGAGAGAACAGAUACAUGCUGAUAAGUUGCUCUUACGGGAUUCUUGUUUCCGAUUGGUGAGGAUGCUGAGUCUGUCUUCUUCGUCCCCUCGAAGUGAAAGAAUCCGCUGAUCGGUCGUUUUGCCGAAGAUGAGUAUUGCAUCUUUAAGGAGAAGAUAAGCAGGCUGAUGCAGGAGGAUGCUAAGUUUGGAGGCCCUGUUGUUAGUAGGGGAUUCAAUUGGCCAAGGAGGUCUGUUGUCCAGAACAAGGUGAGCGAAGAUGGUAAGGAGGAUGAUGUACAUGUGAAGGAUGUUGAGGUUAUGAGGGGUAAGGGUCAGAAGAAAAUCGACGUGGACCCCAAAAAGAGUGAUAAGGAGACUGAAGAUGAUGACAGUAACAAUCAUUCUGAGGACAGUGAUAAUGGUCCUAGGGAGGGUAAAAUGGCUGCUCAGGACAGUGGAAAGAAUGUUGCAUCUGACGAUGAUAGAAGCUCUGUAUCUAGCUUAGAAGGUGAUGAUCUACCAGACGUUUCUAUGGCUAAUAAAAAAGUAGGUGACUCAGGUGAUGAUCAAGGAUUGUCGCCCAUUGCAAUGGGAGCCGCCCCUGUGUCAUAGGAGUUGGUUGUCUACGAGGCCCCAAAUCGUUUUCUAGAUGAGUUGAGAGAGAAGGUUUAUCUAUAAUGUGUUACCAUAAAUGAUGGUUCGUCAGUCAUGAUGCUUGAACAUUCUAAGGUGAUUGCGAUUGGGUUUGACCACCACUUGCCUCGGACAGAUACCACAAGUGCAAAACUUGGACUUUGGAUAAGCAACCAUCUUAUGCAUUUUGUCAUUGAGGUUCCUAAUGCUGAAGGUGCGGACGAUCAAUUGGAAGAAUGUGUUUGCCUCAGCCCGUACAUGAUGGUAAUCGUUGCCCGAAACUACAUUGUUCCAAUUAUUUAUUCGUAUCAUUAAUUUCGAUGUUUGACUUAAAAAAUUUGGGUGUUUAGUUGCAUCUGAUCUUAGACACUAUUAGUCAGGGAAGUACUGACCGCUUCAGGGACUGAAAGACCAUUCUUACUUUAGGCACAUUCGGAUAGCGAACAAAAAUCUGAUUAUGGGACCCUUCUUGAGGAACGAGCAUUGGUGGGCUUAUGCACUUGAUCGUAAGAAUAAAAUAGUCUACGUGAUUAACUCCAUACGCCGAAGGUGCCUGACUUUUUAAAGGAAGUAACUAGACUCCCUGGUGGUGAGUACGAUAUUUGAACUUUGUCAACUACAACACUUGUUAGGUUAAUCUCUAUUUGUGUUACGAUUGUGCUUGACUACAUGCAGUUGAGAAGGCAGGAACAGAUCAUCUCUUUGGUAGACUCUGGCCACGUUCCUACUGAUUAUGGACUUCAUUGCAUUUAUACCCUUGUACCAAGGCAACACAACAGUGAUGACUGUGGAGCUUUUGUGUACAAGUACCUUCAACACUGCCCACCUGAAACCUUAUUGCCGGGUUACAACUAGGUUAGGACACCGUCAUUUUGUUGAGCUUCAUUAUGAUUAGAACUGUUGUUGAUGUCGAAUUUUGGUGACAAACCUCGAACUCAACUACAACAUUGUGCUUUUUUAAUUUUUCAUCUCCCAUUUUUCCAGGAGCAAGUUCUGACUUUCCAAAAAGAUCUCCUCCUAUCCUACAGUCUGAGUGGGUUAAACACUAACCAGGAUGUACUCCUUGGGCAUGUGGAGGAGUACUUUCAUGUGGCCUGUUCAAAAGGAAUAUUCAUUUAAGUCCCCCUUAAAGUGCAUGUCAACCAGUCGGGGAUAGCCGCUCGCAUAAAGAAUAGGGCGAGACAAAGUAACAUCAGACGGAAGUUAGAUCCCAACUCGCUGGGUUUGGUGUCUUCGACGAAGGAAAAACCCCCUCCCAGGAGGUAUAAGUAAAGUUGUUUUAUCUUGUGCUCUCUGCUACACUCACAGUGUUAUGAUGAUAGAGUCACCAUGUAUAGUAACAUUGUCUUUUGAAUAUUUCAUGAACUUCGAUGUAAGUUACAAGGUAUUUAGUCAAUGUAUAUAUCACGAACCCUUUUUCUCUGAUCAGUGUCAUCCAUGACGAGGCAUAAGAGAUCUAGUCUGUUUGAAUUGUUUUAGAUUGAAAUCGAACAGGUUGGAAAAUAUCCUGUAAACUGGAACAAUUCAUUUAACAUUUUGAUAAAUAUACCGCUAGUUUGACUUCAC